AUCAAGACAUUUAGAUAUUAUGUGCUAAAGGUGUCCCAUCUUCCCCCACCCUAUUGUAUCUUAGUUUUUCCUUCAAAACUAAUUGUAUGAGACAAAAUCAUAUAAUUUAAAAAAAAAAUUGAAAAAUGUCCCUGAUUUCAAUUAACCGCUUUUUUGUAAAUUUGAAAUCUCAAACAUGUGCUGGGCUACGUAUGUAUUUAUAAAUCGGGAAGUCGUACCAUAGGUCGUCGCAACCGAAAGCAGUAAUUUUGUCCCAUAAGCUGACACCCUAGUAAUUGAUAGUUAGUCUGUGUAGCGAGACGUUAAGAAGUCACGAUAAAUGCUCAUGACUUGAUGGAAAUAGCUGCUUUGCGACCGACGGUCAAUUGAAGUAUGUGAAAAGCUUGCCACCCAAAUCCGCCAUGUCGUGCCGUAGCCAAAAAAAGAUAUAAAAAGAAUAGACCAAUGUGUUAGGGAAUGAGCCAAUGCUGGGGCCGUGAUUAGGGUGCAAAGUCGAGCCGCGAAACCACUGCAAGGUUUGGCGGGUGAAAAACGUGACGACAUGAACGGUUUUUAUAAGGUAUUAAACAUCACCCUUUGCAACACGAAGAACCAUUGUACAGAGGUAAAGAAUGCAGGUGCCUAAAAGGAGUGUAUAUUUUAUUAAAUUCUAGAAAUCAGUUAAAAAUCGUUAAGCGAAGAUGGUUGAUCAGGCAGAGUACAAUCUACCGGCCGGACAGAUAUGCAUCUUUUUCAAUGGACGAUUGUUUUGUUGCUGGUCGUCUCAUCCGUUUCUUCUCGAAGACCUUUGAAAGUUCAUAAUGACAGAAGGUGCCGAGCAGAGGUUACUUGUCGUCAUGAGAAUACGUUUUCACCAUGGACAUGUAUGUACAUAACUUGCUCGCACAUUGAAGACCCCGUGAUAAGUGUUGUUUGCGACCGUAAAUGUAAAGAUCCAAAAACCCAUGUCAUUUUGGAUAGUAAUAACUAUUGCUCUAAAGAAAUCAAACUGAUAAUUGAACGGCGACGAAGACACAGGGGUGUUAUGAUACCAAUUGAAGUCGUUGUUGGGUGUGAAUGCGUAUGGUGCGGAAACAGAUGAAAGAAUUAUUACGUAUUUUAUUGAUAUAGUAAGGUGGGGGA